GGAGUGCCACUUCAUGACAUAAAGCACCUGCUCAGCUGGGAACAGAAUUUCAGGUGAAGUUGUGGAUUCCCAUCUAUCCUUCAGCAGAUAGUAUCCUCACUCGUAUCUGGCUGUAUUGUGUUCACACUCUAUGUCACAGGAUGAAAUCUCCAGAUGAAGGAGGAGUGCCCCUUGCCGCCUGAAGCACCUGCUCAUCUGGUAACAUAAUUCGAGGUAAAUUUAAG
rnacentral:lncRNA from 1 species